rnacentral:SRP_RNA from 1 species
GCCGGGUGUGGUGGCGCUUGCCUGUAGUCCCAGCUACUCAGGAGGCUGAGAUGGGAGGAUCACUCGAGCCCAGGAGUUCGAGGCUGCAGGGAGCCGAGAUCACACCACUGAACUCCAGCCUGGGCAACAGAGCGAGACCCUGUCUCAA